UGGGGAAUAUUGCACAAUGGAGGGAACUCUGAUGCAGCGACGCCGCGUGAGUGAUGAAGGACUUCGUUUCGUAAAACUCUGUUCUAUGGGAAGAAAAGGACUGUACCAUAGGAGAAAGCUCCGGCUAAAUACGUGCCAGCAGCCGCGGUAAUACGUAUGGAGCGAGCGUUGUCCGGAAUUAUUGGGCGUAAAGGGUUCGCAGGCGGAAAUGCAAGUCAGGUGUAAAAGGCAGUAGCUUAACUACUGUAAGCAUUUGAAACUGCAUAUCUUGAGAAGAGUAGAGGUAAGUGGAAUUUUUAGUGUAGCGGUGAAAUGCGUAGAUAUUAAAAAGAAUACCGGUGGCGAAGGCGACUUACUGGGCUCAUUCUGACGCUGAGGAACGAAAGCGUGGGUAGCAAACAGG
rnacentral:rRNA from 1 species